ACGUGUAGCGGUGAAAUGCGUAGAGAUGUGGAGGAAACACCAGUGGCGAAGGCGACUCUCUGGUCUGUAACUGACGCUGAGGAGCGAAAGCGUGGGGAGCGAACAGGAUUAGAUACCCUGGUAGUCCACGCCGUAAACGAUGAGUGCUAAGUGUUAGGGGGUUUCCGCCCCUUAGUGCUGCAGCUAACGCAUUAAGCACUCCGCCUGGGGAGUACGGUCGCAAGACUGAAACUCAAAGGAAUUGACGGGGGCCCGCACAAGCGGUGGAGCAUGUGGUUUAAUUCGAAGCAACGCGAAGAACCUUACCAGGUCUUGACAUCCUCUGACAACCCUAGAGAUAGGGCUUUCCCUUCGGGGACAGAGUGACAGGUGGUGCAUGGUUGUCGUCAGCUCGUGUCGUGAGAUGUUGGGUUAAGUCCCGCAACGAGCGCAACCCUUGAUCUUAGUUGCCAGCAUUCAGUUUGGCACUCUAAGGUGACUGCCGGUGACAAACCGGAGGAAGGUGGGGAUGACGUCAAAUCAUCAUGCCCCUUAUGACCUGGGCUACACACGUGCUACAAUGGACAGAACAAAGGGCUGCGAGACCGCAAGGUUUAGCCAAUCCCACAAAUCUGUUCUCAGUUCGGAUCGCAGUCUGCAACU
rnacentral:rRNA from 1 species